rnacentral:piRNA from 1 species
UGUAAUCCCAGCACUUUGGGAGGCCUAGAG